GCACACAGCGGUCUGGUUUGGAUCAGGUCAUGCAACCCGGUUGAGCAAUUGAUGCUUCAGGGUUGUGCUACAAAUAGGAGGAAAAACUGCCAAAACACUUUCCUCCAAAGAGCCCAGGUGACAUGGAAAAACAGUCCCUAGGUUUGCUCCCACUCUUAAAUGCCAGGCUAAUAAGGGAAAAUCUAUCAUAAUAGGGUAUGCAAGUGAAAAUGAAAAGAUAGUUGGAGAAGUAGAGGAAGAUCAUUUGACAUCAGAGGAAUAGGAUGAACCAAUUGAAAUUGGUCUUGGGACAAUUAGUUUAGGGGUCCGUAUAUCCUGGACCUAAACUUGUAUUGGUCCAACUUGGACUCAUCAAUUUGAAUCAUUGAUUAAAUAAGGUGCAUAGAUGAUAUGUCCAUCCACACAUAAUUACUCUCUCACUCUCUCCACCCACACCACUUUCCACUUCCAGAAAACAUUUCUCUCCAAAUUCAACAAAACCCUUUCUCGAUUUAAUGUUUCAUUCAACAAUCCAUUUGACAAGUCCAAAACCUGCAAUGUUUGUAAACCCUUAUGAAGAAAUUGAAGAUUAAGCUUUGCAUGUUUGAGAGAUUCUUUAAGAGUUUUCUUGUUAAAGCAUUGUGAGAAAAGUUAAGAAAUUGAAUAUUUUUAAGUUAUUAUAGAUUCUGGAAUUUCCCCUAUUAUCAAGUGUAUAAAU
rnacentral:lncRNA from 1 species